AUUUGCUUUGUAUUUGCAUAAAGCAUUAUGCUGACAAUUUUUUUUCUGUUACCUGAUUUAGAUGUAUACAUUCUAAGCCAGGUGGGAGGGAAAACACAUUGAAAUAUGUUAUGACCUGUGAAAAAUCAAUGUCUGAAAUUAAUAGAAGUUUCUCACUUGGUUUCCUCAGACAGGGAUCAGAGUUAAAUGGCGAAUUAGAAGGGGGUUGGGUAGCUCUCCGUGGAUUCUCACAAGGCGUUGUAUCAUCUCUUGUCAUCACCAGAAGGGAUCAAUGGUUCAGUUUCGCGGCGACUUUGUAGAACAUAACUACCGCGAAUAACAAGAAUUGACUGCUGUUGGACCUUGCCUAGCUGCUUUUUUCAUUGCUUUCCCCUGUGAGGAACAUUGGAAAAGAUUUAA